CUCGGACGCGCGUCGCCGCCGCCAUCGCCGUUCCCCUUCUUCCUCACCCCCAUGACAUCGCGGCAAGACGUUCCUGCUGCUGUCUUCUUCCUUUUGAGAGAAUUCGACGCCUACCACAUUGCCGAUCUCGCACGCUAGGCCCUCCGACAUUACAACGCCAACCACCCGGAUGCUGAGUUUCGGUGUCCUGAUCAGCCGAACACGGAGGCGAAGGCCGCCUGUGUUGGCUUCAGGGAAGAUCUCUGGUACCACCUCAACUUCUCGGCCUGCACGACGGACGAUGGCGACGAGCAGAGCUUCUUCGCCGAGCUACGCUAUGACCGGUGUUCCAGCACAAUAAUCAUCGAAACAUACACCAUCUUAGAAAAACCGUGUUCAUCGAAACAUGCACCAUCUUGCCACUUUAGAAGCAGUUGCACAUUGUGUCCAGAUGAAUCCAAGAUUUUGCAUCCAAGCUACGUGGAGCUUGGGUGUGGGAAGGAGGGCCACCAAGAGGAAUUCUUCCACAAGAGGUGUGGAUGGAACGGACGUGAGGAAUUUUUCAGUCCGAGGGAGAUGCUAGCGAUACCCUUCAAGUUAGGAGGACCAGUGCCUCGAUAUAGACUGGAGUAACUAUGAUUUACUCCUGCUUUCAGUUCAGUUGCAAUGUUCUACUCCUACUUUUAGGCUUGUAAAUUUAUUAUUUCCUAUCGUUGAUGCAUUGGGGUACAAGCUUUGUGUUUUCUCUAGAGGGAAUGGACGUCCACUAGUAAAUCUGUGAGAAAGUAAAUUUGUGGCAGUUUUGGCACAGAGAAGUAAGCCCAUCGUUUCACCUCUAGGCUGU